AACACUGAUCGAGAAAAGAUGAGGUCACAGGGUCAGUGUGAUAGUGACAAUCUGAAGGAACUGGCUGUGGGUGGAUCUGAGCCAGCGCUGACAGCCUGAGGAGCCAUAGAAGGGUCUGCUGGGCUGCUCUCUGCAUCCACACAGACUCAGAGCAGAUCGACUCCAAGUCUGCGACAGGCAACUGCUUCCUGCUGCUCACAGAGAAGCGUCCUCAUAAGAUGACAUCAGGGAAGCCCUGAACGUUGUUGGGUAGCAGAAUGAGAGCAAGGGUCAGAGGAAGACAAAGCUUGCCUCUGUAGCAAGUGGCAACCUGUGCCACUGCGCAAGCCCCUCCUGGUGUGCAGCACUGCUCCUCCGCUCCUCGUUGAGGGGGAGCCCAGCCUUGCUCUAGCUUGUUUCUCCCGCAGGGUGAGUGAUGUCACCACCAUUCUUGAAGACAGCUUUUUUUUUUUUUUGGUGCCGUGCUAGGUUCUGCCAACACAAGCAUCUGCCUGUGAUUUUAGUCAGUUUUGUGUUUCUGAAGAAAUCCCAAACCGAUCUUCUUCAUUUUCCAAUCUGAGUUUCUAAUUCAUGAUUUAAAAAACAAAAAUGUGUUCCCGGG
rnacentral:sRNA from 1 species